CCUACGGUGUGCUGCAGUGGGGAAUAUUGGACAAUGGGCGAAAGCCUGAUCCAGCCAUGCCGCGUGUGUGAAGAAGGCCUUCGGGUUGUAAAGCACUUUCAGUGGGGAAGAAAGCCUUGGGGCUAAUACCCUCGAGGAAGGACAUCACCCACAGAAGAAGCACCGGCUAACUCCGUGCCAGCAGCCGCGGUAAUACGGAGGGUGCGAGCGUUAAUCGGAAUUACUGGGCGUAAAGCGCGCGUAGGCGGUCUGAUAAGCCGGUUGUGAAAGCCCCGGGCUCAACCUGGGAACGGCAUCCGGAACUGUCAGGCUAGAGUGCAGGAGAGGAAGGUAGAAGUCCCGGUGUAGCGGUGAAAUGCGUAGAGAUCGGGAGGAAUACCAGUGGCGAAGGCGGCCUUCUGGACUGACACUGACGCUGAGGUGCGAAAGCGUGGGUAGCAAACAGGAUUAGAUACCCUGGUAGUC
rnacentral:rRNA from 1 species